UACGGAGGGGGCUAGCGUUGUUCGGAAUGACUGGGCGUAAAGCGCGCGUAGGCGGAUCGGAAAGUUGGGGGUGAAAUCCCGGGGCUCAACCCUGGAAUUGCCUUCAAAACUGCCGGUCUUGAGUUCGAGAGAGGUGAGUGGAAUUCCGAGUGUAGAGGUGAAAUUCGUAGAUAUUCGGAGGAACACCAGUGGCGAAGGCGGCUCACUGGCUCGAUACUGACGCUGAGGUGCGAAAGCGUGGGGAGCAAACAGG
rnacentral:rRNA from 1 species